UUUUUUGAAUGCCUGAGCAGUAUGAAGGUCCCGUCUGGAUUCUCGUCCAAUAUAAAGGGAAUAAUAAACAUGGCGGAGAAAAAGUUCCAAAACCUGAAGUCUCACGACUGCCACGUGAUUAUGACGCAAUUGCUUCUGAUUGCUUUGAGGGGGCUCCUGCCGGAAAAUGUUCGAGUAGCCAUUGUGAAGCUAUGUGCAUUCCUCAAUGCAAUCUCUCAGAAGGUAAUCAAUCCAGAAGAUCUACCACAGUUACAUAACGAUGUGAUCCAAUGUCUUGUCAGUUUCGAGUUGGUGUUCCCGCCAUCCUUCUUCAAUAUUAUGACGCACCUCUUGGUUCACCUAGUCGAAGAGAUUUUCAUUCUCGGUCCUGUAUUUCUACACAAUAUGUUCCCCUUCGAGAGGUUCAUGGGAGUAUCAAAGAAAUAUGUUCGUAACCGUGCUAGGCCAGAAGGAAGCAUCGCCAAGGGCUAUGGAAAUGAGGAGGUAAUUGAGUUUUGUGUUGACUUUGUUCCUGACCUUAAGCCGAUUGGUCUUCCUCGAUCGCGGCACGAGGGGAGACUAAGUGGAAAAGGCACGAUCGGAAGGAAAUCAACGACAUGUAUGGACGACCAUUCUCUGACUGAAGCACACCACACUGUACUGACCAAUUCCAGCUUGGUGGCUCCGUACUUUGAGAAACACAAGAAUAUUUUACGCUCGGACAACCCGGGGAAGCCUGAAUCCUGGAUUAGGAAGGCCCACAUGGAGACUUUCGGCAGUUGGUUGAGAAAACAUUUAAUGAAUGACAAUGAUGGUGUAGAUCAGCUGUACAUGUUGGCCAAGACACCAUCUUCGACUAUAACGACUUUCCAAGGGUACGAGAUAAAUGGGAAUACAUUUUACACGAUCGCCCAAGAUAAAAAGAGCACCAACCAAAACAGUGGUGUCCGCUUUGAUGCAGCAACCGAGAAUGGGCAAAAGGUCACAUAUUAUGGUUACAUAGAGGAGAUAUGGGAACUUGACUAUGGACCCUCCUUUAAGGUCCCUUUGUUCCGG
rnacentral:rRNA from 1 species